rnacentral:tRNA from 1 species
UCCUUCUUACCUCAGUUGGUAGGGCGCGUCACACGUAAUGACGAGGUCAGUCGUUCAAGUCGGCUAGAAGGAG